rnacentral:misc_RNA from 1 species
GCAAACUUGGUCAUUUAGAGGAAGUAAAAGUCGUAACAAGGUUUCCGUAGGUGAACCUGCGGAAGGAUCAUUAUUGAAUAAAUCUGGCGCUGGGUUGUAGCUGGCUCUCCGGAGCAUGUGCACACCUUCGUCACCUUUAUCUUUCCACCUGUGCACCCACUGUAGUCCUGGAUCCCUCUCGCCGAAAGGCGGAUGCAGAGCCUGCUGUGACUUUGGCAACAAAGGCCGGCUUGCUCUGAAUUUCCAGGUCUACGAUCUUUACACACCCCUAAACGAAUGUCAUAGAAUGUAUAUCACUGGGCCUUUGUGCCUAUAAACCUUAUACAACUUUCAACAACGGAUCUCUUGGCUCUCGCAUCGAUGAAGAACGCAGC